AAUACAAGGCAUACGGCUCAGUAACGCGUAGUCAACCUACCCUAUGGACGGAAAUAACCUCGGGAAACUGAGAAUAAUAUCCGAUAGAACAUUAUGCCUGGAAUGGUUUAUGUUCCAAAUGAUUUAUCGCCGUAGGAUGGGACUGCGGCCUAUCAGUUUGUUGGUGAGGUAAUGGCCCACCAAGACUAUUACAGGUACGGGCUCUGAGAGGAGUAGCCCGGAGAUGGGUACUGAGACACGGACCCAGGCCCUAUGGGGCGCAGCAGGCGAGAAAACUUUGCAAUGUGCGAAAGCACGACAAGGUUAAUCCGAGUGAUUUCUGCUAAAGAAAUCUUUUGUUAGUCCUAGAAACACUAACGAAUAAGGGGUGGGCAAGUUCUGGUGUCAGCCGCCGCGGUAAAACCAGCACCUCAAGUGGUCAGGAUGAUUAUUGGGCCUAAAGCAUCCGUAGCCGGCUCUGUAAGUCCUCGGUUAAAUCUGUACGCUUAACGUACAGGCUGCCGGGAAUACUGCAUAGCUAGGGAGUGGGAGGGGUAGACGGUACUCGGUAGGAAGGGGGUAAAAUCCUUUGAUCUAUUGAUGACCACCUGUGGCGAAGGCGGUCUACCAGAACACGUCCGACGGUGAGGGAUGAAAGCUGGGGGAGCAAACCGGAUUAGAUACCCGGGUAGUCCCAGCUGUAAACUAUGCAAACUCAGUGAUGCAUUGGCUUGUGGCCAAUGCAGUGCUGCAGGGAAGCCGUUAAGUUUGCCGCCUGGGAAGUACGUACGCAA
rnacentral:rRNA from 1 species